UAGAGUUUGAUCCUGGCUCAGAUUGAACGCUAGCGGGAUGCCUUACACAUGCAAGUCGAACGGCAGCACGGACUUCGGUCUGGUGGCGAGUGGCGAACGGGUGAGUAAUGUAUCGGAACGUGCCCAGUAGCGGGGGAUAACUACGCGAAAGCGUAGCUAAUACCGCAUACGCCCUACGGGGGAAAGCAGGGGAUCGCAAGACCUUGCACUAUUGGAGCGGCCGAUAUCGGAUUAGCUAGUUGGUGGGGUAACGGCUCACCAAGGCGACGAUCCGUAGCUGGUUUGAGAGGACGACCAGCCACACUGGGACUGAGACACGGCCCAGACUCCUACGGGAGGCAGCAGUGGGGAAUUUUGGACAAUGGGGGAAACCCUGAUCCAGCCAUCCCGCGUGUGCGAUGAAGGCCUUCGGGUUGUAAAGCACUUUUGGCAGGAAAGAAACGUCGUGGGUUAAUACCCCGCGAAACUGACGGUACCUGCAGAAUAAGCACCGGCUAACUACGUGCCAGCAGCCGCGGUAAUACGUAGGGUGCAAGCGCUAAUCGGAAUUACUGGGCGUAAGGCGUGCGCAGGCGGUUCGGAAAGAAAGAUGUGAAAUCCCAGAGCUUAACUUUGGAACUGCAUUUUUAACUACCGGGCUAGAGUGUGUCAGAGGGNNNNGNAACUCCGCGUGUA
rnacentral:rRNA from 1 species